UAGGGAGGGGCCUGGAUUCUGUGGGCAGAGUCCGGGGAUGCUCUGCUUGGAAUUGUGAUGGGGGCGAGAUGAAUGGUCUAGCAGGAGGCCCUGAGCGGAGGCCCUGGCUAAGAGGCAGCUGCCUCCCUAGUGAUGCUGGAAUGUAAAGAAAAGCUUAGUCUUCCAUGAUAGAUGGUGGUGAAAUCAAACCCGAAGGGGUUUCGGGAGCUAGAAAAGUCAUCUUGGCCUGAAAGACAGCAAUAUAAUAUCCAGAGAAUUUGAACCAAAAGUCCUACAGUCCUACAGUGAAAUGGCCGGUACUCACCUCCCAGCUGCUGCCUGACAAGGUUUGAAAGGUUCCACUUCCUCAAGGCUCUACAACCUUCCAAAACAGCGCCACCUUCUGGGAACCCAGCAUUUAAACAUAUGAGCCUGUGGGAGACGUUUGACCUGCAAACCACAAGAAGUCAGCCUGAAAGCACCCUGUUCUUUGCCAAAUGCCCUGCCCUCUGCAGGCAAAGAAGAACAUGACCACAGCAGUGCCAAGACCAGACCAACAGGAACUUCCACGCACUACAAUGAACCUGAUGUAAGUCACAUCUGUCUGUAAGUCACAUGACUUACAGAGGCCAUUUUAUGAAUUUGGUCCAUGUCAGCAUCUUCUCCAGGACCGACAAAUGACUCUGCAGCCUGUUGGUGUGUAUGGAGUCCUCCAUGUUGCUGGUAGGACGGGGUGCGGUGGACAUGUUUGCAUUGGAGUCAUUGCUGCCAUAAUCCCCAUGAUCAUCAUAGUCACCAUCAACAUCACAAUCAUUGUCAUCAUAGUCACCAUCAUCAUCAUCAUCAUCAUCACCACCACAGUUAUCAUCACCAUUACCAUCAUAGUCAGUGCCAUCAUGGUCACCAUUGCCAUCAUCGUCAUCCCAGUAUCACCAUCAUCAUCACCAUCACCAUUGAAGUCAUUAACAUCAUAGUAUCAUUAUCAUCAUCACUGUCAUCAUCACCACCAUCAUCAUCAUCAUAGUCAUCAUUACGAGAAUCGAACCUUCAUAAUUGCUAUCCCCAUCACAAUCGCCGUCAUCAUCAUCGUCAUUGUUACCAUCAUCAUCACUGACACCAUCAUCAUCACCGUCAUAAUUACCAUCACCAUCACAGUCAUCAUCACCAUUAGAGUUAUUAUCUUCAUGACCUUCACCACCAUCUACACCAUCACAAUCACCAUCAUUCCUGAAAAAGAGAAACAAAAAAGGAACGGACAUCACUGUUCCUAGCAAGGAAAUGACAUAAAGAUGGAGGAAUUUCAAGGCCGGGAGAACAAAUUUAUGCCGGGGAAGCUAGCAAGUUCCUUACUGAUGGAGCCCUCUGAUUUCUCUGGAUGGCUGAGCCAGAGAGGAAGUCACAGUCCUGCAUAGCCAGUGAUAACCUUGGGUUAGUGCAACAUAAACUGCAUGCAUUAUUUUCUCCAUCACAACAACCUGAACUAUGGACCUCAGUGUGUUUAAGACUGCAAGCAAAAGCCAAAGCUGCAUGACUGCUACCCAGAUGUCCUGGGGGACCAUGGGCUUGGGGAGACUUGCUGAGGCCUGGAUGUCUGCAGCUCUACUCUGUCAUGCUCUCACAGGGUCUUCUUGUGUGAUGUAGCUUAGCAAGCUAAGAAGUAUUUUGGUAAAACAGACAUUCCAAGAGUGAAUGGAUCCCUUCUGUAUCUGGGGCGAAACUUGUCCCUUUGAGAUGUUUUCAAGGUGAAAUCUGGUUGAUGACUUUAAGCUGACACUUCAGAUGACCACAUUCUGGUGAGCCACUUUAGAAAUUGGAUAAUUUUUUUCUCUUAGUAAAUUAACAUGCUGAUUUGGAGCUGAAGAGAUGAUUCAGAAGUUGAGAACACUUGCUGCUCUUGCAGAGGACCUGUGUUCUGUCCCCAGUACCCAUGCCAGGAGGUUCACAAUCAUCUGUUACUCCAGCUCCAGGGGACCCAGUCUCUGCCCUCUGAGGCAGUCAUACAGAGACACUCAUAUGCCUAUCAAUAAAAAUAAAGCUUUAGAAAAAUGCUGCCUGGGCACUGUGUCCCCACACUUUGAGUGUUACUUCUCAAGAUCCCAGAAGAGCUAAUGAUAUUAGCUCUCCAUCUCCUGAAAUGUGUCUUUUUAAAAGCACGUAAAACAAAAUACAGCCUGAGUCUUUUGUACAAAGAUACUCAAUGUUUCUGUUUUUAACAAUGCACAAAGUAAAAACAACAUAAACACCCAAGAGCAGGAAAAUGGCCAAGUAAGUUACAAUAUAGCCAUAAUGUGGAAUUUUAUAAAUCCAUAACGAAUAUACUCUUCAUAGACAAUUAAAGGUGACAGGGAAAGUCUAA